rnacentral:lncRNA from 1 species
AUCGGAAUAGGUCAAAGGGCAGAGGUGACACAGUGGGUCAUGAAAUCUCUUAUGUUUUGAAGAAGGCAAUUAGCAAGCUAAGAAAACAGAGUUAGCACUUUCAGACACCUCAUUAGUAUCCAGGGAGAGAGUUAGUUAAGUUAAAGGGAAGUCAGAAUGGUACUCACCGGAGUAGCCUGAGACCACCUUCAGUAAGUAGGAGACAAGUCCUUUGGAGCGGGAUAAUGCUUCUCAGGAUGCAGUCAAGUAUCGUGGAGAACAGUUUAAAAGAAGAAUGACCAGUGUCAGCAAAAGGAGCAAGGGCACUGCAUCAGCACGCAGAAUUGGUAGUAAGGCAAAAGUCACCAAGAAUGGGAAGGUACCAGAGGGGGGGAAGCAGCACUGGAUGCCAUUCUCUGCAAUGUCAUGGCACCCUCAAGGGUCCAUCGCCAUCCCACUAAUCUCCCCAGUGUGUUUGGUCCACAGAUUCUCUUUCCGAGAGGUACUUAUGGGUCCUUGGGUCAGAUGGAAUCGUGGGCCCCGCAGCCACUCUGCAGUGCUGAGACUCGUGUGCCUGUGUUGUCCUGCAUUCAUGCAGCUCGUAUCUCUGGAUGCCAGACACUGCAAUUUCAGGAGGGUAAAAACAAGACUGUUAAGUAAGAGCAACCCCAGAUAGAAAGAGCAAAUACUGUGAGGCUACUUCCUUCCAGAAUUUCAGGAGGGAAGCAGGGCCAAACUGUCUUCUGCUCUUAGCAUCCAAGACCGGAUGGGACUCCAUCGUGGAGCUUAUCCUGCCCUUCCUAAGGUAACACCCAGAGGGGGGGUGACAAGAAACAUACUCAGUUGCAAUCUAGGUUUCUUUUCCCUUUAGCUUCAACAUCCUCUUGUCAGACGUGGAAAGAGUGAGAAAAAAGCAUCACAUUCAGUAUGCUCUCCUAUCCAGUUUGGAGUAAAGAUUCUUAAAAUUAAAGAAGUGUGUGGAAUGCAGGAAAAAGAUUUAUUCGCAUAAGACAAACUCUUGCAAACCAGAAGGUACUUAGUUUUGGACUCAGGCACCUGACUAUUGUCUAAUAUUGCCUUCAGG